rnacentral:rRNA from 1 species
UGCAAACUGAAGAUGGCGACCGGCGCACGGGCGAGUAACACGUAUCCAACCUGCCGAUAACUCCGGAAUAGCCUUUCGAAAGAAAGAUUAAUACCGGAUGGCAUACGAAUAUCGCAUGAUAUUUUUAUUAAAGAAUUUCGGUUAUCGAUGGGGAUGCGUUCCAUUAGUUUGUUGGCGGGGUAACGGCCCACCAAGACUACGAUGGAUAGGGGUUCUGAGAGGAAGGUCCCCCACAUUGGAACUGAGGCACGGUCCAAACUCCUACGGGAGGCAGCAGUGAGGAAUAUUGGUCAAUGGGCGAGAGCCUGAACCAGCCAAGUAGCGUGAAGGAUGAAGGCUCUAUGGGUCGUAAACUUCUUUUAUAUGGGAAUAAAGUUUUCCACGUGUGGAAUUUUGUAUGUACCAUAUGAAUAAGGAUCGGCUAACUCCGUGCCAGCAGCCGCGGUAAUACGGAGGAUCCGAGCGUUAUCCGGAUUUAUUGGGUUUAAAGGGAGCGUAGGUGGAUUGUUAAGUCAGUUGUGAAAGUUUGCGGCUCAACCGUAAAAUUGCAGUUGAAACUGGCAGUCUUGAGUACAGUAGAGGUGGGCGGAAUUCGUGGUGUAGCGGUGAAAUGCUUAGAUAUCACGAAGAACUCCGAUUGCGAAG